AUGGUGAGGAGGGCGGUCCUAACUUUCUCAAAGCUGAAACGAGUGGUGAGGAAGCUGGCUCGAGCCGAGGAAAGCAUGUUCUCCAACAUAAGAGAACCCAUUCGAUUCUCACGGAACGUCAACGACUCACCCGAAAAAAAAUCCUCCCCCAUCCUUUCUCCCCGUCUCUCCCGUUUCUUUGGCGGCGCGGCGGCGGCGGGGGAUCGAAUCUUGGGCGCGCUCUUCGCCGGCAGCGGAAGCGUAUCGAAUCCUGGGGGGUGCUCCUCGCCGGUAUCGACGGCGGAUCGAAUCCUGGGGGCGCUCCUCGCCAGUAGCGGUUUGCGAAAUCAGCGGCGAGCGAGUAGCGGCAGCAACGACGGCCAGCAGUUGCAAGCAGCGACGGCUUCAUCCUUCUUGCUUCUUUUCGGGGUUUCUCCCCCUAUUGGUCUAGUUUUCUUGGUUCUUUUUCAAGUCACGGCAAGCAGCGAGGGCUCCGUUCUUUCCUCUCCCCUAAUCAAUCAAGGGAAGAGCAAGCAGCAUCUGUACGAGGCUGGUUUUCGCCGGCGACCUCACAUAGGCAGCGCGAGCUCGAUCGAUUUGUGGCGAUCGAUCAACUCCGUGCUCGCCAAGCUCGACUCCACCAGACUGAAGAAGAAUCAUCCCAAGAUGAUGGAAGUGUUAUGUCAAGGCGUAGUGAACCUAAAGAAGGGUUUCGACAAGCUUGGCGGGGGGUGGGCGAUGGAUCGGGGUGCCCUGUUGUGGACGAAGUUUGCGAGGGACCUGGUCUUUGACAUUGAAGAGUGGAUCGACGAGCCAAAGAGCGCAUAUUUAUCGGAGAGAGAGAUGACUGCUUUGUUCAAGUCUAGGAUCCACAAUGUGCUUGAGCACUUCACGUGGUGCGACCUUCUCAGUCCAACUGAUGAUGAGUUCAAGACCAUCGAUGAAUUGUGUAAAGAUCUGGAGAGCCUAAAAAAGGAACUCCCCUCUAAGUUUGGGCCACUGGAAAAACUAAUCCAGGACUAUAAGACCAAGAUACAGGAAACACGUGAAGUCUUGAAGCAUUGUGGUGAUAAGCUCAGUACAGCCCCCAUGGAGUGUCCACUGAUUUAUGAGGACAAAACCCGUGACCUCAUUGCUCUCAAAGAAUCAAGUAGUAAGCUUAUCAUGCAUCUGACUGCCGCACGGCUGCGGCUAAUGUUGGUAUCUAUCGUCGCAAUGGAAGGCCUUGGUAAGACUACCCUUGCCAAGGUGGUAUAUGCAAAGCUUCAAUGCAAGUUUGAGUGCCGAGCUUUCAUCACUGUUGGCCGAAAACCGUCUCUAUCGGCCACUCUAUUGGAUAUACUUCAUCAAGUAAAGCCUCAGGGUACUAUUCCUCAGAAUGGCAUGGAAGCUCCUGAAAUGAAUCAAGUCGUAACUGAGCUCAGGGAAUACCUCGUCACGAAGAGGUAUUUCAUUUUAAUUGAUGACAUUUGGAGCAUCUUGGCAUGGGAUGUUAUUAAUUCUGUUUUGCGUGAGAAUGAUCUCGGAAGUAGAGUAUUGAUCACAACUUGCAUCAGCGACGUAGCCAAGUAUUGUUGUCCUAUGCGCCCAAUUGAUGUCAUCCACCAGAUGGAGCCUCUCAGCGAGGAAGAAUCCAAGACUUUAUUUCACAAGGAGGCAAAAAGGCCUGCUGAAAAUGAGUUGUUGAAAAUGUGUGGCGGCAUGCCAUUGGCAAUAAUUAUUGCAGCUGGCAGGAAAUCUGCAGUACUAGCUGAGCCAGAGAUUCGUGAGAGACGUAUCCUGUCAACAUCAGACCAAUGUUCCACAUCAGAUGGGAUGAGAAUGUUAUUGCGCAUGAGUUAUGAUGAACUGCCUGCCCCUUUGAAGUCUUGUCUUCUAUACCUCGGCGUCUUUCCAGAAUAUUAUACCAUUAAGAAAGACCGUUUGAUACGUCUAUGGAUCGCCGAGGGAUUUUUCUUAGGAAGACAUGAAGAAAAUUCGUGGGGAACGGGAGAAAGCUAUUUCAAUGAGCUCAUCUGUAGGCGGCUGAUCCAGCCAGUGUUUUGCUACGAAGAUGGCCAGGCUGUAGGAUGUGUGGUGCAUGGUGUGAUCCUUGACUUCAUCAAAACUUUGUCUAGGGAAGACAACUUUGUGACGACGGGUGCAGAUAUGAGGUACGCUGCAAGGAAGAUGAAGCCGGCACGCUGCUCUCAGGAACCCUGCACCUAUCUAGCAUGUGAACCCUCCAAGUUUGCGGGCAUGUUGGAUGGACAACCCUCCUCACAUACCCUAAGACACCAUCUGAAAGGCAUUGGAGGGCUGAUUCUGCUAAGGUACUUGGGACUUAGAGGGUCUGCUAUGCAUGAAUUACCAGGCGAAAUUGGAAAGCUGGAGCACUUGGAGACGCUGGAUGUCAGGCACACUAAUCUGAGAAAUCUGCCUGCAUCUAUAGCUGGAUUGAAAAGGAUGGUAUGCCUACUGAUUGAAGAUACCGUGAAGAUGAUGGGCGAUAUCCUUAUGAUGCAAGGACUACAAGAAGUAUCAACGAUCCGUGUCGACAACGUCAAGUCACUCCAUAAGGUCGUAGAGCUGCUGGUUCGGUCAGGGAGGCUAAGUGUCCUUGGCUUGAGCUUUGACGGAUUAGAUCCAUCUGUGGACAGUGCACGUGCCAUCGUCGAUUUCCUCAAGGCGGUUGGACACUCUAACCUUCAGUCCCUCUCUCUGCAUUGUCUUGAUGGUGACUUGGUAGGCCAACUGGACUUGUGUCCACACCGGUUGCGAAGAUUUGACCUGACCAUAUCUAGCGCAAUCUUGGGAAGUACUGCAUUUUGUAUGACCUCCUGUGUCACCCACUUGAAUAUUGAAAUGACUCAAUUGGGAGAGCAAGGUCUGAGUAUCAUCGCGUCCGUGCCCCAUCUUAUCCUUCUCAAGUUAGUAUCUUCAGGACCUGCUGCUGACAUGACGGACACGCACUCAUCUUCCAGAGGACAAAGAAGAAGGGUGAUAAUUUGCAGUGGCGCCUUUCCGUGUCUUAAGGUGUUCUGGUUCACAUGCAAGGCUGGUGGGAAAGAGCUGCAGUUUGAUCGAGGAGCCAUGCCACGGCUGCGGGGUCUUAGGCUCCACUUCAACGCUCUAGAGACGCUGUCUCUUUAUGGAGAUUUUGAAUUUGGCAUUGAGCAUCUCUCUAGCCUCACCAGAAUCCAUGCCGCUAUUGGAUGUGAAGAUGCUACGGCUCCAGGGGUGGAGCUUGCAGAGGCUGCCAUCACGGAGCAAGUCUGUCGGAUCUCCUCCGCCAACACACCCACAAUAGAGUUCAGCAGAGAGAUGACCGGGAUGCUUGAGGGGGAAAAGAAGAGUGUAGGUCCCUGUACAGAGACGGUGACAACGAUCACCCGGAAAAAGAGCUUGAGCAGAUGUUGA
rnacentral:rRNA from 1 species